AUUGAACGCUGGCGGCAGGCUUAACACAUGCAAGUCGAACGCGUGGCGGACGGGUGAGUAAUGCCUGGGCACCUACCUUAUGGAGGGGGAUAACUACGGGAAACUGUAGCUAAUACCGCGUACUAUAGGAUCAGCCCAUGUGGGAUUAGGUAGUUGGUGGGGUAAAGGCUCACCAAGGCGACGAUCACUAGCUGGUCUGAGAGGAUGACCAGCCACACUGGGACUGAGACACGGCCCAGACUCCUACGGGAGGCAGCAGUGGGGAAUAUUGGGCAAUGGGUGAAAGCCUGACGCAGCCAUGCCGCGUGUGUGAAGAAGGCCUUCGGGUUGUAAAGUACUUUCGGUAGGGAGGCGGUACCUGAAGAAGAAGCACCGGCUAACUCCGUGCCAGCAGCCGCGGUAAUAC
rnacentral:rRNA from 1 species